GCCCUUAGAGUUUGAUCAUGGCUCAGGACGAACGCUGGCGGCAGGCUUAACACAUGCAAGUCGCACGAGAACAGGCCUUCGGGCCUUAGUAAAGUGGCGGACGGGUGAGUAACACGUAGACAACCUGCCCCAAAGCGAGGGAUAACUAUCGGAAACGGUAGCUAAUACCGCAUGCAGUCUUUACCGGGCAUCCGGUUUAGAUGAAAGCCUUCGGGCGCUUUGGGAUGGGUCUGCGGAGGAUUAGUUUGUUGGUAGGGUAAAGGCCUACCAAGACUACGAUCCACAGCUGGUCUGAGAGGACGAUCAGCCACACUGGGACUGAGACACGGCCCAGACUCCUACGGGAGGCAGCAGUGGGGAAUCUUGGGCAAUGGGCGAAAGCCUGACCCAGCCAUGCCGCGUGGAGGAAGACACCCCUAUGGGGCGUAAACUCCUUUUGUGCAGGAAGAAGGCCUCGGUCACCGAGGUUUGACGGUACUGCACGAAUAAGCACCGGCUAACUCCGUGCCAGCAGCCGCGGUAAUACGGAGGGUGCAAGCGUUGUCCGGAAUCACUGGGUGUAAAGGGUGUGUAGGCGGGAUUGUAAGUCAGAGGUGAAAUCUUGCGGCUCAACCGUAAAAUUGCCUUUGAUACUGCAGUUCUUGAGUCCCGGAGAGGUUGUUGGAAUUCGUGGUGUAGCGGUGAAAUGCGUA
rnacentral:rRNA from 1 species